GGCUUAGAGUUUGAUCAUGGCUCAGGAUGAACGCUGGCGGCGUGCCUAACACAUGCAAGUCGAACGAAGCACCUUGAGAGAUUCUUCGGAUGAUCUUAUGGUGACUGAGUGGCGGACGGGUGAGUAACGCGUGGGUAACCUGCCCUGUACAGGGGGAUAACAGCUAGAAAUGGCUGCUAAUACCGCAUAAGCGCACAGGAAGACAUCUUCCAGUGUGAAAAACUCCGGUGGUACAGGAUGGGCCCGCGUCUGAUUAGCUUGUUGGCGGGGUAAGGGCCCACCAAGGCGACGAUCAGUAGCCGGUCUGAGAGGAUGAACGGCCACAUUGGAACUGAGACACGGUCCAAACUCCUACGGGAGGCAGCAGUGGGGAAUAUUGCACAAUGGGGGGAACCCUGAUGCAGCAACGCCGCGUGAGUGAAGAAGUAUUUCGGUAUGUAAAGCUCUAUCAGCAGGGAAGAUAAUGACGGUACCUGACUAAGAAGCUCCGGCUAAAUACGUGCCAGCAGCCGCGGUAAUACGUAUGGAGCAAGCGUUAUCCGGAUUUACUGGGUGUAAAGGGUGCGUAGGCGGCGCGGCAAGUCAGAUGUGAAAGACCGGGGCUCAACCCCGGGGCUGCAUUUGAAACUGCGGUGCUCGAGUCCAGGAGAGGCAGGCG
rnacentral:rRNA from 1 species